rnacentral:misc_RNA from 1 species
CUCUAUCUUGCUCUAUUUCUGUUUGUCUCUCCCUAAACUUCUUCUAAAUUCUUCUAUUCUCUUGUUAGGACUACCCUGACAAGGUCUUCCCCAACAAAUCAUAGAUUGAAUCUAGAUCAUCUUUAAUUGUCAUUUGUUUUGGGAGUCGUAUACCAAUCUGAUUUGUUUCAACUUUUUUGGACCUUUUUUGUGAAAAUCUUCUGCUUAUCUAAGUUAACGAAGCAUAACUUCCAUAAGCAACCAUAGAAUGACAGAAAUUUGUUCAAGCUUUGGAAUCAUCCAAGACAAAUAGCCCAAAUGUUCUGUACAAAUUGAAUUGACUUUUCAUUAUUGCCCUAAAUAUUAAUGAAUUUAAACCCCACCUGUAAGGACCAACAUCUUCCAAAGUCAUAGUUUUAAUCUUUGGUUGAGCUUUUUGGUAUGCAUGCCUUUGCUGAAAUCCUUCAUUAGAGAUGAGUUAGCGGUUUUAUGUCAUUUCUAAAAUUUGUUGGCUUCUCUCUUUAGGGUGAUAUCUUGGAAGACCCAG